GGAGCGGUAGUUCAGUUGGUUAGAAUACCGGCCUGUCACGUCGGUGGUCACGGGUUCGAGCCCCGUUCGCUCCGCCA
rnacentral:tRNA from 1 species